GCUUACGGCCACACGCCUGGUUCACGCCCGAUCUCGUUUGAUCUCGGAAGCUAAGAUAGGUUCGGCCUCGUUAGUACUUGGAUGGGAGACCGCCUGGGAAUACCAGGUGCUGUAGCUU
rnacentral:rRNA from 1 species